GAUGAACGCUGGCGGUAUGCUUAACACAUGCAAGUCGAACGGACUCUUCGGAGUUAGUGGCGGACGGGUGAGUAACGCGUGAGAAUCUGGCUUUGGGUUCGGGACAACCACUGGAAACGGUGGCUAAUACCGGAUGUGCCGAGAGGUAAAAGAGAAAUUGCCUGAAGAUGAGCUCGCGUCUGAUUAGCUAGUUGGUGAGGUAAAGGCUCACCAAGGCAGCGAUCAGUAGCUGGUCUGAGAGGAUGACCAGCCACACUGGGACUGAGACACGGCCCAGACUCCUACGGGAGGCGGCAGUGGGGAAUUUUCCGCAAUGGGCGAAAGCCUGACGGGGCAAUACCGCGUGAGGGAAGAAGGCUCUUGGGUUGUAAACCUCUUUUCUUAGGGAAGAACAAAAUGACGGUACCUAAGGAAUCAGCAUCGGCUAACUCCGUG
rnacentral:rRNA from 1 species